UAUAAGUAUAAACGCGUUAAGCGUGAAACCGCGAACGGCUCAUUACAACAGCUAUAAUUUACUUGAUCUUGACAAACUUACAUGGAUAACUGAGGUAAUUCUUGAGCUAAUACAUGCACCAAAGCUUUGACCGUAAGGGAAGAGCGCAUUUAUUAGAACAAAACCAAACGGCUUCGGCUGUUCCCAGUUGAAUCAGAAUAACUCAGCUGAUCGUACGGUCUUGCACCGACGACGUGUCUUUCAAGUAUCUGCUUUAUCAACUUUCGAUGGUAGGGUAUCUGCCUACCAUGGUGGUGACGGAUAACGGAGGAUCAGGGUUCGACUCCGGAGAAGGGGCCUGAGAAAUGGCCACUACGUCUAAGGAUGGCAGCAGGCGCGCAAAUUACCCACUCUCAGAAUUUGGAGGAGGUAGUGACGAGAAAUAACGAGGUUGAUCUCUUCUGAGGCCAACCAUCGGAAUGGGUACAAUUUAAACCCUUUAACGAGUAUCUAUGAGAGGGCAAGUCUGGUGCCAG
rnacentral:rRNA from 1 species